GACGAACGCUGGCGGCGUGCUUAACACAUGCAAGUCGAACGGAAAGGCCCUGCUUUUGUGGGGUGCUCGAGUGGCGAACGGGUGAGUAACACGUGAGUAACCUGCCCUUGACUUUGGGAUAACUUCAGGAAACUGGGGCUAAUACCGGAUAGGAGCUCCUGCUGCAUGGUGGGGGUUGGAAAGUUUCGGCGGUUGGGGAUGGACUCGCGGCUUAUCAGCUUGUUGGUGGGGUAGUGGCUUACCAAGGCUUUGACGGGUAGCCGGCCUGAGAGGGUGACCGGCCACAUUGGGACUGAGAUACGGCCCAGACUCCUACGGGAGGCAGCAGUGGGGAAUAUUGCACAAUGGGCGGAAGCCUGAUGCAGCAACGCCGCGUGCGGGAUGACGGCCUUCGGGUUGUAAACCGCCUUCGCCUGUGACGAAGCGUGAGUGAAGGUAAUGGGUAAAGAAGCACCGGCUAACUACGUG
rnacentral:rRNA from 1 species